GACAGAGGGGGCAAGCGUUGCUCGGAAUCAUUGGGCGUAAAGAGCUCGUAGGCGGCUGCUCAAGUCGAAUGUGAAAACUCGAGGCUCAACCUCGAGCCUGCAUUCGAUACUGGGCGGCUAGAGUCUGGUAGGGGGAUCUGGAAUUCCUGGUGUAGCGGUGGAAUGCGCAGAUAUCAGGAGGAACACCGGUGGCGAAGGCGGGAUCCUGGGCCAGUACUGACGCUGAGGAGCGAAAGCGUGGGGAGCAAACAGG
rnacentral:rRNA from 1 species